AGAGUUUGAUCCUGGCUCAGGAUGAACGCUAGCGGCAGGCUUAACACAUGCAAGUCGAGGGGUAUAGUUCUUCGGAAUUAGAGACCGGCGCACGGGUGCGCAACGCGUAUGCAAUCUACCUUUUACAGAGGGAUAGCCCAGAGAAAUUUGGAUUAAUACCUCAUAGUAUAGUGAUACCGCAUGGUACUACUAUUAAAGUCACAACGGUAAAAGAUGAGCAUGCGUCCCAUUAGCUAGUUGGUAAGGUAACGGCUUACCAAGGCGACGAUGGGUAGGGGUCCUGAGAGGGAGAUCCCCCACACUGGUACUGAGACACGGACCAGACUCCUACGGGAGGCAGCAGUGAGGAAUAUUGGUCAAUGGGCGCAAGCCUGAACCAGCCAUGCCGCGUGCAGGAUGACGGUCCUAUGGAUUGUAAACUGCUUUUGUACAGGAAGAAACACUCGGACGUGUCCGAGCUUGACGGUACUGUAAGAAUAAGGAUCGGCUAACUCCGUGCCAGCAGCCGCGGUAAUACGGAGGAUCCAAGCGUUAUCCGGAAUCAUUGGGUUUAAAGGGUCCGUAGGCGGUUUAGUAAGUCAGUGGUGAAAGCCCAUCGCUCAACGGUGGAACGGCCAUUGAUACUGCUAGACUUGAAUUAUUAGGAAGUAACUAGAAUAUGUAGUGUAGCGGUGAAAUGCUUAGAGAUUACAUGGAAUACCAAUUGCGAAGGCAGGUUACUACUAAUGGAUUGACGCUGAUGGACGAAAGCGUGGGUAGCGAACAGGAUUAGAUACCCUAGUAGUCC
rnacentral:rRNA from 1 species